GAUGAACGCUGGCGGCGUGCCUAAUACAUGCAAGUCGAACGCACAGCGAAAGGUGCUUGCACCUUUCAAGUGAGUGGCGAACGGGUGAGUAACACGUGGAUAACCUACCUCAAGGUUGGGGAUAACAUUUGGAAACAGAUGCUAAUACCGAAUAAAACUUCGUAUCGCAUGAUACAAGGUUAAAAAGGCGCUACGGCGUCACCUAGAGAUGGAUCCGCGGUGCAUUAGUUAGUUGGUGGGUAAAGGCCUACCAAGACAAUGAUGCAUAGCCGAGUUGAGAGACUGAUCGGCCACAUUGGGACUGAGACACGGCCCAAACUCCUAACGGGAGGCUGCAGUAGGAAUCUUCCACAAUGGGCGAAAGCCUGA
rnacentral:rRNA from 1 species